UUGACAGAGGAACUGAAUGCAAGUUACUAAACAUACUUUCAACAUUUCAAAUGAGUCAGACAGAGAAUGCUGAAGAAGAGUCUUGAGAGAUGUGAUCCAACAGUUCAUUUUCCAGUUGCGAAAACCGAGGCCAGAAAGCACGCUGGAUUCCGCGAAGAACGCUCAGAAUCGCGGGCUGUAUUACUGUUCCUCUGAUGAACUGGCUUUGCCUUUUUAGGAAGCCUGCAUGCUUUCUCCUCUCUACUAAGCGUUUCGGCUCUGAGGCAACCAACCCCAGGCAGACGUCCCCAUGACAGAACUGUUCACUCGGACCCAGUCUCCGUCCCACCCUCAGGCUGCUUCCCACGCCAGGCGCACCAGGGCCCGACAGGACACCUCGGGAUCUCCCCGGCUGACUCAAACAACAUCUUGUCUGCGGAACUUCUUUAUGGUGUACGGGGCUUGCUCUCCUUUCCGGCUCCCCUCUCCCAGGCUUUCCCCAGAGUCUUUCCACUGAUGGAAGCCAUCCCUCCCAGACCCUGGCAGCUUCCUUUCAUGUCUCUCAGGAGGCUCUUAAGAGAAACCACCCUUGCCUCUCCCCCCUCCCCCCGCCCCCCGGAUUUUGCGCACGCAGAGGGCAAGUCUCUGGGACAUGAUGCUCUUCCUCUGGAAGUCGGCAUCUGGAACACAGCUGUUGUUCUGAUGCAGUUCCAACUUCACAGAGCAGGCUGACAGUGGGCCUCGAGGCAGCACCCCUGAGUUUUGUAUCUGCUUCUAAAUGAUGCUCCCCUGAAACCCAGGAAAACUUCGAGCGCCUCUUAUCCUCUCUUCAGCCCUCCUCCCCCACCCCUCUUCGUUGUUGUUGUUGUUUUUCUCUUUUGCCUUUCUUUUUGACUCAUGUGACUUUCUGUCUUCCAGGCCUGUGGCAGGCAGACAGGAUGCUUAAGAGCUACGUCUCUCCCCUUGUUAAACGCCCGCUCCGCGGGCUGCCAUGCGUCAGUUUCUAUUCAAAGACCUCAGUGGCCAGGGAUUUAUUUGGAAGUCGGUUUUCUGGUGGGUCCAUUUUGGCUGGGGGUGAUGUGCAUAUUGUGUCUGCUGUGCUCGCCAGAGGGGGGCCCCCGAAAGGGUCCCCGCCGUCCUCCGCCUCCCACGCACCGCAAACGCUUGCAUGAACACCGAAUAAACCAAAAGCCGGACAGAGAUUUCUUUGUAAAGCAGGGCCCAUCUCCGGGUCUGUCCUUGCCGAAGGACGAUUUCACGACUUCCCUCCUUUCUAAGACAGUCACAGACCAAUCACCUCCUGCGAUCGGCUCCUUCUUCAAACAACUCUGAAAGACCUGUUUUCCUGACUUCCGUGUUCUUUCAGGUGAUCCGAGUGUCCGAGAUGAUGCGCUCUGUCAUGAUCUGUCCCUCUUUAUUUUGCUUUCUAAAUUCAUUAUCUGCCUACUCCCACCCCGGUGCUGUAAUCACAUAUCUGUUUGUUCAUCACCCCUCUUUCUACAAUAUUAGUUCUUCACAGACUCCUUGUCUCUGGAGGACAGAGAAGGCAUUUUUUGUUUCUUUUUUUUCUUGCCCCCCCCCGCCACUGCUGUGUCCUUAGCAUUUGAAUAAUGCCUGCCCUACAACUGGUACUCAAUAAAUAUUUGUUACGAGAAGGAAUGAAUGAAUAAACAGAUCUUCAGAGAAAUAAGGA